GAACUGAAGAGUUUGAUCAUGGCUCAGAUUGAACGCUGGCGGCAGGCCUAACACAUGCAAGUCGAGCGGCAGCACGGGUACUUGUACCUGGUGGCGAGCGGCGGACGGGUGAGUAAUGCCUAGGAAUCUGCCUGGUAGUGGGGGAUAACGCUCGGAAACGGACGCUAAUACCGCAUACGUCCUACGGGAGAAAGCAGGGGACCUUCGGGCCUUGCGCUAUCAGAUGAGCCUAGGUCGGAUUAGCUAGUUGGUGAGGUAAUGGCUCACCAAGGCGACGAUCCGUAAC
rnacentral:rRNA from 1 species